AAGCUCGUAGUUGAAUUUCGGGAUCAAUACGUCGGUCGUGCUUCGGUACGCACUGGCGUCAUUGAUUUCUCCCUUCUGACGAACCAUGAUGUCAUUAACUUGGUGUCAUGGGAAAUCAGGACUGUUACUUUGAAAAAACUUAGAGUGUUUAAAAGCAGGCUCACGCUUGAAUACAUUAGCAUGGAAUAAUGAAAUAGGACGUUCGAUCCUAUUUUGUUGGUUCUAGGAUCAACGUAAUGAUUAAUAGGGAUAGUUGGG
rnacentral:rRNA from 1 species